GACGAACCGUGCGAACGUUAUUCGGAAUCACUGGGCUUAAAGCGCGUGUAGGCGGGAGGGCACGUCCGUCGCUGAAAUCCCCCGGCUCAACCGGGGAACAGGCGCGGAUACGACCUUCCUUGAGGGGCGUAGGGGGACCUGGAACUUCCGGUGGAGCGGUGAAAUGCGUUGAGAUCGGAAGGAACGCCCGUGGCGAAAGCGAGGUCCCGGACGCCUACUGACGCUGAGACGCGAAAGCCAGGGGAGCGAACGGG
rnacentral:rRNA from 1 species